UGUGGAAUAGUGGAAAGCACAUUGGAAUUAGAAUUCAAAGGUCUGGAUUUGAAUCCUGGUCCUACAA
rnacentral:tRNA from 1 species